rnacentral:rRNA from 1 species
GACCUCANAUCAGGUAGGACUACCCGCUGAA